rnacentral:rRNA from 1 species
GGUUGCGAUCAUACCAGCACUAAUGUACCGGAUCCAUCAGAACUCCGUAGUUAAGCGUGCUUGGGCGAGACUAGUACUAGGAUGGGUGACCCCCUGGGAAGUCCUCAUGUUGAAACCC